rnacentral:rRNA from 1 species
AUUGAACGCUGGCGGAAUGCUUUACACAUGCAAGUCGAACGGUAGAGGGGGCAACCCCUCGAGAGUGGCGAACGGGUGAGUAAUAUAGCGGAACGUGCCCAGUCGGGGGGGAUAACGUAGCGAAAGUUAAGCUAAUACCGCAUACGAUCUACGGGUGAAAGCGGGGGAGUGCAAGGCCUCGCUCGAUUGGAGCGGCCGAUAUCAGAUUAGGUAGUUGGUGGGGUAAAGGCUCACCAAGGCAACGAUCUGUAGCUGGUCUGAGAGGACGACCAGCCACACUGGAACUGAGACACGGUCCAGACUCCUACGGGAGGCAGCAGUGGGGAAUUUUGGACAAUGGACGCAAGUCUGAUCCAGCCAUUCCGCGUGCAGGAUGAAGGCCCUCGGGUUGUAAACUGCUUUUGUACGGAACGAAAAGGUCUCUCUUAAUACGGGGGACUCAUGACGGUACCGUAAGAAUAAGCACCGGCUAACUACGUGCCAGCAGCCGCGGUAA